rnacentral:lncRNA from 1 species
CCGCAGAGCCGGGCAGCACGCAUCUUGCCCCACAGCCACUUCCGGAAGCUCUCUAGGAAGCUCGGAGGUCUGACAGCUCUAUGGUUUCAUAAAGUCCAAACUGCCUUCAACCUAUGUUUCUGAGGAUGACCUUGAACUCUUCACAUACUUCUACCUUGACCUCCCAAGUGUUGGGAUUACAGGCCUCCCACGAUUCAAAUUUAGUACUGCCUAAUACCAGGUAUUAUGAACAGUUCUACACCUGAGCUACAUAACAUACAAAUGGGUCUGGUUAGCAGAGUUCUUUCAAGACAUCAAGCUAAGAAUUUGUUUUCUUGAAUGCUGUUGGCACUUACCGUUGAUUCUUCUCUUCAAAGUCGUAAAGAAAUAGCUUCUUAUGCCCACCAGGUGUAUUAUUUGUCUCUGGCUGCCAAUGAUGAAUAGGAGGAGCAGAAAAUUGUUGUUUCACAGUUCUGAAGCAUAGAAGUCCAAAAUCAAGGUAUGAGCAGGGUUGGGGUCUCUCUGAAUCCUCUACAAACCUGAAUUUUUCCUUGCAUUAUUUUGUCCUUCUGGUGGUUUGCGGGUACUCCUUGGAAUUCUGUGGUCUAUACUUGUAGAACUUCAAUCUCUGUCUUCAUAGUCAAAUGGCAUGUUCUUUUUUUCUUAUAAGUCUA